UACGUAGGGUGCAAGCGUUGUCCGGAAUUAUUGGGCGUAAAGAGCUCGUAGGCGGUCUGUUGCGUCCGCUGUGAAAACUCGGGGCUUAACCCCGAGCCUGCAGUGGAUACGGGCAGACUAGAGGUAGGUAGGGGAGAAUGGAAUUCCCGGUGUAGCGGUGAAAUGCGCAGAUAUCGGGAGGAACACCGGUGGCGAAGGCGGGUCUCUGGGCAGUAACUGACGCUGAGGAGCGAAAGCGUGGGGAGCGGAUCCGG
rnacentral:rRNA from 1 species